UUUGCAGGGGAGGGCUGUAUAGUAUAGCCUAAAAGAUGUAUGCAUAAUUUUUUAGCUGGAAAGACAUGAAGGCAAAGAAGGUCAAAGUAGCAAGAAAUACUCGGGGCCUGGCUGGUGUUGGAGUGUUCGGAGGGUGGUGAGAACUGGUGACAAGACGAAGAAAUGAGACAAAGAUGCCUAGGUUUAAGGUACUACUAGCUUUGGAAUAUAGAAGUGAACAAAGUCUUUAUCUUCAUGGAGCUGGAGUUCUGGAGAGACAAAAUGAACAAAUAUCAGAUCCAGUUUCCUUCAACAGAAGCAACCAUUGUCACUUGUUUCUCAUGCACCUUCCACAGAUACUACAAGGAUAUCCAAGCAUUUAAGUGCACGUCCGUGCACAUCCACAAACUCACAGCCUGUUUCCACCUUGAACUUUUCACUCAGUUUAUCUUGGAGGUUGUUGCUAAAUUUAUUCCUAGGUAUUUCAUUAGACAACUCCAUAUGCACU